rnacentral:rRNA from 1 species
AGAGUUUGAUCCUGGCUCAGAGCGAACGCUGGCGGCAGGCCUAACACAUGCAAGUCGAGCGGGCACCUUCGGGUGUCAGCGGCAGACGGGUGAGUAACGCGUGGGAACGUACCCUUUGGUUCGGAACAACUCCGGGAAACUGGAGCUAAUACCGGAUACGCCCUUUUGGGGGAAAGAUUUAUCGCCGAAGGAUCGGCCCGCGUCUGAUUAGCUAGUUGGUGAGGUAACGGCUCACCAAGGCGACGAUCAGUAGCUGGUCUGAGAGGAUGAUCAGCCACACUGGGACUGAGACACGGCCCAGACUCCUACGGGAGGCAGCAGUGGGGAAUAUUGGACAAUGGGCGCAAGCCUGAUCCAGCCAUGCCGCGUGAGUGAUGAAGGCCUUAGGGUUGUAAAGCUCUUUCACCCACGACGAUAAUGACGGUAGUGGGAGAAGAAGCCCCGGUUAACUUCGUGCCAGCAGCCGCGGUAAUACGAAGGGGGCUAGCGUUGCUCGGAAUCACUGGGCGUAAAGGGCGCGUAGGCGGCCGAUCAAGUCAGGGGUGAAAGCCUGUGGCUCAACCACAGAAUUGCCUUUGAUACUGUUUGGCUCGAGACCGGAAGAGGUUGGUGGAACUGCGAGUGUAGAGGUGAAAUUCGUAGAUAUUCGCAAGAACACCAGUGGCGAAGGCGGCCAACUGGUCCGGUUCUGACGCUGAGGCGCGAAAGCGUGGGGAGCAAACAGGAUUAGAUACCCCCGUAGUCC